GGCAGCCGGGGCCGCGGAGCCCUUCCCCCGUCUCCUCCCCGCCCGGCCCGGGGGGGACGGGGGCAGCGGCGGCCGGGCGGGGAAAGCAGGAGGGGCAGCGCCCGGCAACAUGGAGGGAGGCGCGGAGCGGGCCGGCCCCUGAUGCGGCUCUUCCUCCUCCUCCUCCUCCUCCUCCUCCUUCUCCUCCUCCUCCUCCUCCUGCUCGGGGCAGCGGCUCCGGCGGCGCUUCGCUUCCCUCCCGGCGGCGAUGAGCAGGUCGGCGGCGCUUCUCCUCUGCCUGCUGGGCUGCAACGUCUGGAAGGCGGUGACCAAAACCUUAGGGGCGCCCGAGGCGGCUCAAGGAUGGGGAAGAUACUCAACUUGUGCAGAAGAUGAGUUGAGGAGUACAGAGAAAGCACAGUGAUGGAGAUGGCACACUGUCCAGGUGAGGGCUGGGAAGUAAACCCAGGCCAUACAAGAACCGAGGGUCUUAACUUCUGCUGCUUUUACUUCAGUGUUCAGGGACUGUUUAAGGAAUUUACUGGUAUUCAGCCAGCAGUUACUGCAGGACCCUCACAAAAUUAUUUUCAGGUUUCAUCACCUUUUUCUUGCCAUUCCAUGCUUUUCUUUGUCACGCUUGUGUGAGCAUAAGGAGAAAUGCCAGGAGCUGCCUGGCCGUGGGCAAUGAAGCUUCCCCAGCCUGGGCUGGUGUUCAGCACGUGUGGAAGGCAGACAGCAGCCGCCUCGGUGACCAGUUGCUGCUAUCCUGAUGUUCGAAUUUGAGGUUGGUUUUUGUAAGUAGACACAGAAUCACUUGUCCCCAAAAUGGAUGAUGAUCUUGGUUUCUGAAUCUGUCUAAUUAAAGUAAGAAAAAAAUACCAUAAUGAUGAUAAGGUGGGCAUGUAAAACUUCAGUGUAGGAAGCGAAAUUUGAAUGGAUUCCAGCUACAAGUACUAAAAACCUUCUUCCUUUUCCUCUUAGUCUUUCCCUUACCCACUCCCUAUUGAAUUGAGCUAAAUUUUAAACCUAAUUUCAAUCUACCAGAAGACAACCUACAUUUCCAAAAGCGGUCAUGUAAACAGAUCUGUAUUUCAAAUGUAACUUGCAAGUUUGAUGUUAGUAACAUCAGUCUCAUUUCAUCUUCCUAAGCACCAGGGGAACAAAACACCUUAAAUCCAAGGUGCUGUUGGAAAGUCAGUGAUUGUUUGUAGUUAACAGUAAAGAAAAUAUUGUAAGAAGCAAUUAUUUUAUCUCAGAGUGAGGCAAUGCAAACAAACCUUGAUUUCAGAGAAAUAUGCUGGUAACUAACUGAUCUUGUAAGUAAUGCUGUCUGUGGUCCUAGUAUAAUAUUUGGUUUAGAUUUCUUUGGUUUAAACCCAGACUGAUGGCUUCAGAUACGAUUUUAUGAGGUAGCCAUAUAUUGUGUUAACAGGGCCUUUUUGCCCAAGGGGCAAAUAAACUGCUGUAUGCUUUAUAGCACGUUAAACAGAAUAGGGGAGAAGAAAAGAACCUAAUGAUAAGCCCAUUGAUCCUUUUCUUUAUCAUGAAUUAUUCAGGCACUGGUGUGAUUGAUUGUUGUUAGGUUUUACUGGUUUUUAAGCAUUGUAGAGAUGUGGUGUAGUAUGUAAACAUAAUUAGGUGUUAUCUUCAUGCUUCAAGUUAUCUUGGUUUGUGUUGGUUACCUGAUUUCUGAGACAAAAACAGUGAAUCAUGAUGGACAGUUUUCCUUCAUGGCCCUGAAAAAGUAUGGAUUUUGUGUUUGCCCAAAUCCUCACGUGUUCUCACUUCUAGAAGAGUGGGAUGGACACAGCUGUGGACUGGAGCCCUCGGCGUUUGUGCACACAUGUGCCGAUGCGCGCACAUGCUAGCCGUGUAAGGCCAUAUGGUAUGAAUCAAGCCUUACCUCACGGUAGUAAAAAUGUAAUGCAUUUUCCACCAUUUUCAGCUAUGUGUUCGUGGUAGGGUAUCCUGUGCUUUGAACGACUUAAGUGAUUGUCUUCUGUCCAUGGUCAUUGUUCUGUGGAAUUAAUGUGUUAUCCAGGAUACUUGGCUUAAAUUUUGUCCUUGGAUCGCUGUGGC
rnacentral:lncRNA from 1 species